UCUCACCACAGGAUAGAGACAGAGCACGAAUCCCCUUCCUCCUCCACACACGACUCGGCAGACAGGAUAUGGAGCUUCUCCUCAGCAUGGAUUCUCCAGAUCCUUCUCCGGGACUUCCAUGGAGAAAACACAUCGUUUGGUUGAUCUGAAGCCUGCAAAUGUACCGCUAGACGAGAAUAUGAUGCCGAAAAUUGCGGAUUUUGGUAUCUCGAGAUGCUUCGGUGAAAAGCAAAGUACGGUGAUCUCUUCAAAACCGUUUGGAACAAUGGGAUAUUUGGCACCAGAAUUUUAUGUGUCUAGACUAAUAUCAUUCAAGUCAGACAUAUACAGUCUUGGUGUUAUAAUCAUGGAGAUAACGGUGAAGUUUACAAGGGAGUUUAUAACAGAGAAGAGAUUGCUGUGAAGAAGCUUUAUAACAUGCAAAAUAUCGAGGGCACAAGAAUUUCUAAACUUAAUAAGGUCAAGCAUCAUCAUUCGGUUAGUUGGCUACUGUUAUGAAACACAACAUAGACAAUGCUAGAGCGCUCUGCUUCGAGUAUAUGAAGGACGGAAGCCUUGAUAAACAUAUUACUCGUAUGACUUGAUAUCAAAUGAUUAGGGGAAUUUGCGAGGGUUUAAGUUAUCAUCCGGACUUAAAACCGGACAGCAAAAAGUUGUACCACCAUAGAUGUACUACCAUGGAUGUACUAAGUAAAUCAUAAGCUCGCAUGAAAAGUAUAUCACUUCCUGGUUCAUCAAGGACUGAAUAAAAUAUUUGGUGA